AUGAACGCUGGCGGCGUGCCUAAUACAUGCAAGUCGAGCGAACAGACGAGGAGCUUGCUCCUCUGACGUUAGCGGCGGACGGGUGAGUAACACGUGGAUAACCUACCUAUAAGACUGGGAUAACUUCGGGAAACCGGAGCUAAUACCGGAUAACAUGUUGAACCGCAUGGUUCAACAGUGAAAGACGGUUUUGCUGUCACUUAUAGAUGGAUCCGCGUCGCAUUAGCUAGUUGGUAAGGUAACGGCUUACCAAGGCAACGAUGCGUAGCCGACCUGAGAGGGUGAUCGGCCACACUGGAACUGAGACACGGUCCAGACUCCUACGGGAGGCAGCAGUAGGGAAUCUUCCGCAAUGGGGGAAAGCCUGACGGAGCAACGCCGCGUGAGUGAAGAAGGUCUUCGGAUCGUAAAACUCUGUUAUUAGGGAAGAACAAAUGUGUAAGUAACUAUGCACGUCUUGACGGUACCUAAUCAGAAAGCCACGGCUAACUACGUG
rnacentral:rRNA from 1 species